CUGCAUCAUGCAGACUGAGAGGAAAGAAAGGAAGGGAGGAUGCAGGAUGCAACUUUUUCUUACUGGAGGCAGCUCAGAAAAAGAUGCCUCAGUCUAGAGUCAGGAUUCUGGGUUUCACCAUGUACCAUGGUGGGCUUUCGGACUACGUGUGGUCCCACUACCCACUGACUGUGUUCCUGGCACAGGUCACUUAACCUGCCCAAGUCUCAGUUUCCUCAUGUGUAAAUUGGGAAUAAUAGUGCCCACCUCAUCAGGUUGUAAGUUAAAUCAUGUACAUUUGGAUUAUCUAGACCAGUCCCUAUGCUCAGUAAACGUCAGUUUUUUCACCCAGCUUCUGGAAUUUUCCUUCCCUUGGAUUUGCUCCCCUGAAAUCUCCAAAAUCAGUUUAGAGGACUAAUGCUGGAUGGAUUGGGAUAGGGGUGGGUAACAGCUAGGGUAACUCACCAUCCAGGUUUACCUGGAACUGAGGGCUUCCCAAGAUGCGGGACAUUCAGUACUAACAUAGGGACAGCCCAGGGCAAAUGGGGAUGGUUGGUGACUCUAGAACAGGCAUCACUCCAACUCUAUGUUGAAAGAGAACCUAUCUUUCAGUGGGGCUGCUUUAGGGGUCAAAGCUGUGUGUGGGGAUGGCAGCAGAAGGACGCAAGCAGCCUCAAUUCUGGGAACCAUGAAGGUCCUGGUCCCUGAGCUGCUCCUGCACCCCGGGCAGUUCUGCAGAACCAGGGACAGGAGGAGGGACAAGAACUCACCCCGACUGCAGGAGCCUCGGUGGAUAGAGAUGGCAUCCAGGGCGAUGUCCAGCUCUGACCUACUCCUAGAACCAACUCCUCAACCCCAGGCUCUGGGGCUAUGCAGUUAACCCCUUCCUGUCCCACCUGCUGAGGCCUGUGUUUCGUCUCAAGCCUGCUGGCUCCUCCAGCUCUACCCAGAUCACCCCAGGUUUAUCGCUACCCAUGACCCCCUGAGCCCAGCUUACCAGGCAGGGGCAGGCAUGUGGCCCUGGCCCCAGGCAGUCCCCACCAGCAGCAUCAGAGUCCAGACUGGAGGAGCCAUGAGAGACCUCAGAGGCAGCUCUCAGGGGAGAGGGGAAGGGACAGUGAGAAGCCCAGGCCACGUUUAUACAGCCUGGGCCCUCCUCGCUUGGCACCCUUCUAAGGAUGCCAUGAGAAAUGGACAAUCAGAAAACACGAGAAAGCUCUGGGAAGUUAAAAGUAAGAGAGUGGAAAUUUAAAAUCCAAGAGAAGAGUUAUAAAUUGAAAUCAAAGGAACUAAAAGAGAGAAAGAAAAGAGGAAGUCAGAGGAUCAAUCCAGGAAGCCUAACAUCAAACUCGAAGAAUUUAAAAA